AACGCGAAGAACCUUACCUACCCUUGACUUGUAGCGAACCUCGCAGAGAUGCGAGGGUGCCCGAAAGGGAACGCUAACACAGGUGCUGCAUGGCUGUCGUCAGCUCGUGUCGUGAGAUGUUGGGUUAAGUCCCGCAACGAGCGCAACCCUUGUCAUUAGUUGCUACAUUUAGUUGGGCACUCUAAUGAGACUGCCGGUGACAAACCGGAGGAAGGUGGGGAUGACGUCAAGUCCUCAUGGCCCUUAUGGGUAGGGCCUCACACGUAAUACAAUGGCCGGUACAGAGGGCUGCCAACCCGCGAGGGGGAGCUAAUCUCAGAAAGCCGGUCGUAGUCCGGAUUGUUCUCUGCAACUCGAGAGCAUGAAGUUGGAAUCGCUAGUAAUCGCGGAUCAGCAUGUCGCGGUGAAUACGUUCCCGGGCCUUGUACACACCGGUAUCUC
rnacentral:rRNA from 1 species